CCCCUCUCAGGGUCACACCUGGAGGGUUUCCAGUACUCUGCCAGUCUUGACUACAGAAGGGAAAGUCAAGCAGAGGCCUACCCAUUUCAUUCCUAGCUUGGGCAGUGGCUAGCAAGUAAAAGGCAUUCUGCUACAAGU